rnacentral:rRNA from 1 species
GUGAGGAAUAUUGGGCAAUGGACGGAAGUCUGACCCAGCCAUGCCGCGUGCAGGAUGACGGCCCUAUGGGUUGUAAACUGCUUUUAUGUAGGAAGAAACCCCUUUACGUGUAGAGGGCUGACGGUACUACUUGAAUAAGCAUCGGCUAACUCCGUGCCAGCAGCCGCGGUAAUACGGAGGAUGCAAGCGUUAUCCGGAUUCAUUGGGUUUAAAGGGUCCGUAGGCGGACUUUUAAGUCAGAGGUGAAAGCCUACAGCUCAACUGUAGAAUUGCCUUUGAUACUGGAAGUCUUGAGUACAAUUGAAGUGGGCGGAAUACGUCAUGUAGCGGUGAAAUGCAUAGAUAUGACGUAGAACACCGAUUGCGAAGGCAGCUCACUAAGUUGUAACUGACGCUGAGGGACGAAAGCGUGGGGAGCAAACAGGAUUAGAUACCCUGGUAGUCC